ACGGGUGAGUAAUGUCUGGGAAACUGCCUGAUGGAGGGGGAUAACUACUGGAAACGGUAGCUAAUACCGCAUAACGUCGCAAGACCAAAGAGGGGGACCUUCGGGCCUCUUGCCAUCAGAUGUGCCCAGAUGGGAUUAGCUAGUAGGUGGGGUAACGGCUCACCUAGGCGACGAUCCCUAGCUGGUCUGAGAGGAUGACCAGCCACACUGGAACUGAGACACGGUCCAGACUCCUACGGGAGGCAGCAGUGGGGAAUAUUGCACAAUGGGCGCAAGCCUGAUGCAGCCAUGCCGCGUGUGUGAAGAAGGCCUUCGGGUUGUAAAGCACUUUCAGCGGGGAGGAAGGGGAUAAGGUUAAUAACCUUAUUCAUUGACGUUACCCGCAGAAGAAGCACCGGCUAACUCCGUGCCAGCAGCCGCGGUAAUACGGAGGGUGCAAGCGUUAAUCGGAAUUACUGGGCGUAAAGCGCACGCAGGCGGUCUGUCAAGUCGGAUGUGAAAUCCCCGGGCUCAACCUGGGAACUGCAUUCGAAACUGGCAGGCUAGAGUCUUGUAGAGGGGGGUAGAAUUCCAGGUGUAGCG
rnacentral:rRNA from 1 species